UACGUAGGUGGCAAGCGUUGUCCGGAAUUAUUGGGCGUAAAGCGCGCGCAGGCGGUUUCUUAAGUCUGAUGUGAAAGCCCACGGCUCAACCGUGGAGGGUCAUUGGAAACUGGGGAACUUGAGUGCAGAAGAGAAGAGCGGAAUUCCACGUGUAGCGGUGAAAUGCGUAGAGAUGUGGAGGAACACCAGUGGCGAAGGCGGCUCUUUGGUCUGUAACUGACGCUGAGGCGCGAAAGCGUGGGUAGCAAACAGG
rnacentral:rRNA from 1 species